rnacentral:misc_RNA from 2 species
AACGCACCUUGCGCUCCUUGGUAUUCCGAGGAGCAUGCCUGUUUGAGUGUCAUUAAAUUCUCAACCUCACCAGUUUUCUGAACUGUUCUUCGAGGCUUGGAUGUGGGGGUUUGUGCAGGCUGCCUCACGGCGGUCUGCUCCCCUGAAAUGCAUUAGCGAGUUCCUACUGAACUUCCGUCUAUUGGUGUGAUAAUUAUCUACGCCGUGGACGAGGAUCAGACUCGCUUCUAACCGUCCGCGAGGACAAUACCUUGACAAUUUGACCUCAAAUCAGGUAGGACUACCCGCUGAACUUAA